GACGAACGCUGGCGGCGUGCCUAAUACAUGCAAGUAGAACGCUGAAGAGAGGAGCUUGCUCUUCUUGGAUGAGUUGCGAACGGGUGAGUAACGCGUAGGUAACCUGCCUUGUAGCGGGGGAUAACUAUUGGAAACGAUAGCUAAUACCGCAUAACAAUGGAUGACACAUGUCAUUUAUUUGAAAGGGGCAAUUGCUCCACUACAAGAUGGACCUGCGUUGUAUUAGCUAGUAGGUGAGGUAAUGGCUCACCUAGGCGACGAUACAUAGCCGACCUGAGAGGGUGAUCGGCCACACUGGGACUGAGGCACGGCCCAGACUCCUACGGGAGGCAGCAGUAGGGAAUCUUCGGCAAUGGGGGCAACCCUGACCGAGCAACGCCGCGUGAGUGAAGAAGGUUUUCGGAUCGUAAAGCUCUGUUGUAAGUCAAGAACGGGUGUGAGAGUGGAAAGUUCACACUGUGACGGUAGCUUACCAGAAAGGGACGGCUAACUACGUGCCAGCAGCCGCGGUAAUACGUAGGUCCCGAGCGUUGUCCGGAUUUAUUGGGCGUAAAGCGAGCGCAGGCGGUUUGAUAAGUCUGAAGUUAAAGGCUGUGGCUCAACCAUAGUUCGCUUUGGAAACUGUCAAACUUGAGUGCAGAAGGGGAGAGUGGAAUUCCAUGUGUAGCGGUGAAAUGCGUAGAUAUAUGGAGGAACACCGGUGGCGAAAGCGGCUCUCUGGUCUGUAACUGACGCUGAGGCUCGAAAGCGUGGGGAGCGAACAGGAUUAGAUACCCUGGUAGUCCACGCCGUAAACGAUGAGUGCUAGGUGUUGGAUCCUUUCCGGGAUUCAGUGCCGCAGCUAACGCAUUAAGCACUCCGCCUGGGGAGUACGACCGCAAGGUUGAAACUCAAAGGAAUUGACGGGGGCCCGCACAAGCGGUGGAGCAUGUGGUUUAAUUCGAAGCAACGCGAAGAACCUUACCAGGUCUUGACAUCCCGAUGCUAUUUCUAGAGAUAGAAAGUUACUUCGGUACAUCGGUGACAGGUGGUGCAUGGUUGUCGUCAGCUCGUGUUGUGAGAUGUUGGGUUAAGUCCCGCAACGAGCGCAACCCCUAUUGUUAGUUGCCAUCAUUCAGUUGGGCACUCUAGCGAGACUGCCGGUAAUAAACCGGAGGAAGGUGGGGAUGACGUCAAAUCAUCAUGCCCCUUAUGACCUGGGCUACACACGUGCUACAAUGGUUGGUACAACGAGUUGCGAGUCGGUGACGGCGAGCUAAUCUCUUAAAGCCAAUCUCAGUUCGGAUUGUAGGCUGCAACUCGCCUACAUGAAGUCGGAAUCGCUAGUAAUCGCGGAUCAGCACGCCGCGGUGAAUACGUUCCCGGGCCU
rnacentral:rRNA from 1 species